rnacentral:rRNA from 1 species
UACGUAGGGGGCGAGCGUUGUCCGGAUUUAUUGGGCGUAAAGAGCUCGUAGGCGGUUUGUCGCGUCGACUGUGAAAACCCGAGGCUUAACCUCGGGCCUGCAGUCGAUACGGGCAGACUAGAGUUCGGUAGGGGAGACUGGAAUUCCUGGUGUAGCGGUGAAAUGCGCAGAUAUCAGGAGGAACACCGGUGGCGAAGGCGGGUCUCUGGGCCGAUACUGACGCUGAGGAGCGAAAGCGUGGGGAGCGAACAGG